CUGUCUCUACUUUUUUCCUUCUAAAUUAUUUAAGGAGUGAAAAUCCUCCUAGUACGUAAAAAAAGACGAGAAGACCCUUAGAAUUAUAAUGAAAAGGAGUAAUCGUCUUCUUAAAUUUUAGUUGGGGCAACUGAAUAACAGGUAAAAUUAUUUUAAAACCGACUAUAUGUGACCAAAAAUUUUUAGAAAAGAUGAAUUACCUUAGGGAUAACAGCAUAAUUUUAUUUAAGUUUGUGACCUCGAUGUUGGACUAG
rnacentral:rRNA from 1 species